rnacentral:rRNA from 2 species
UAACGAUAAAGCGGGUGAAAAGCCCGCUCGCCGGAAGACCAAGGGUUCCUGUCCAACGUUAAUCGGGGCAGGGUGAGUCGACCCCUAAGGCGAGGCCGAAAGGCGUAGUCGAUGGGAAACGGGUUAAUAUUCCCGUACUUGGUGUUACUGCGAAGGGGGGACGGAGAAGGCUAUGUUGGCCGGGCGACGGUUGUCCCGGUUUAAGCGUGUAGGUGUGUGUUCCAGGUAAAUCCGGUUCACUUUAACACUGAGGCGUGAUGACGAGGCACUACGGUGCUGAAGCAACAAAUGCCCUGCUUCCAGGAAAAGCCUCUAAGCAUCAGGUAACAUCAAAUCGUACCCCAAACCGACACAGGUGGUCAGGUAGAGAAUACCAAGGCGCUUGAGAGAACUCGGGUGAAGGAACUAGGCAAAAUGGUGCCGUAACUUCGGGAGAAGGCACGCUGACAC